UCCCCCCCAGUGCCUCCCAGUGCCUCCCAGUGCCUCCCAGUCCCCCAGUCCCUCCCAGUCCCUCCCAGUCCCCCCAGUGCCUCCCAGUGCCCCCAGUGCCCACCUUCCCGGUUGGCCUGCAGUGUGGACGCCUGGCUGAGGUUGGAGGGAGCCUCGUCCAUCAGAACGUCCUCCUGAGACUCGUCCUCGGCCGAGCGGCUCACUGGGGACAGGGGGACACGGCCAGGGGUCAGCCUGAUGGCCAGGGGUCACCCUGAUGGUCAGGGGGUCACUCUGAUGGUCAGGGGUCAGCCUGAUGGUCAGGGGGUCACUCUGAUGGUCAGGGGUCAGCCUGAUGGUCAGGGGGUCACUCCGCUGCCCAGCGGUCACUCCGUUCCCCAGCGGUCACUCCGUUCCCCACUGGUCACUCCGUCCAUUCCCCACUGGUCACUCCGUUCCCCAGCGGUCACUCCAUUCCCCACUGGUCACUCCGUCCAUUCCCCGCUGGUCACUCCAUUCCCCGCUGGUCACUCCAUUCCCCACUGGUCACCCCGUCCAUUCCCCACUGGUCACUCCGUAUUCCCCACUGGUCACUCCGCUCCCCACUGGUCACUCCAUUCCCCGCUGGUCACUCCGUCCAUUCCCCGCUGGUCACUCCGUCCAUUCCCCACUGGUCACUCCAUUCCCCGCUGGUCACUCCAUUCCCCACUGGUCACUCCAUUCCCCACUGGUCACUCCGUCCAUUCCCCACUGGUCACUCCAUUCCCCGCUGGUCACUCCGUCCAUUCCCCGCUGGUCACUCCAUUCCCCCCACUGGUCACUCCAUUCCCCGCUGGUCACUCCAUUCCCCACUGGUCACUCCGUCCAUUCCCCACUGGUCACUCCGUCCAUUCCCCACUGGUCACUCCAUUCCCCGCUGGUCACUCCAUUCCCCGCUGGUCACUCCGUCCAUUCCCCACUGGUCACUCCAUUCCCCGCUGGUCACUCCAUUCCCCGCUGGUCACUCUGCCGUCCCUCACCGAUGAUGGCGCUGUUGCCGUCGGCGCCGUCCCUCUCCAGCAGUUCAUCAAUGAGAUCCUCCAGCUCAUUCUCCACCUGGGGGGGGCACAGGGGGGUUUGGGGGCGCUGGGGGGCACUCGGGGGCACUCGGGGGUUUGGGGAGGGGUCCCUGACCUGCAUCUCCUGCGUGCUGAGCCCCUCGGGCUGCCCGGCCAGCACCACCGCGUCCCCCUCGGCCUCGCCGUCCAUGUCCCCGUCGGCCGCCUGCCUGCGCCGCCUCCGCGUCCUCCUCGGGGGCUCGGGGUCCCCGGGGUCCCCUGGGGGGGACAGGGGGGUCACGGGAGGUGUGGGGGGGACAGGGGGGUCCCCCUGCGCUGCCUCCGCGUCCUCCUCGGGGGGCUCAGGGGGGUCAUGGGGUGUGUGGGGACGGGGGGAUCACGAGGGGGUUCCCCCUGGGAGAAGGGGGCAGGUAAAGGACGGGUGGGAGAUGGGGGGGAAUUGAGGGGCAGUGGGGUGAACUGGGAGGGCUGGGGGUGACACUGGGGGGGUCCAGGGGGCUGUGGGUGACCCUGGGGGGACACUGGGUGACACUGGGGCUGUGGGUGUGACUGUGACCAUAGGGUGACACCAGGAGGCUGUGGGUGACCCUGGGGCUGUGGGUGACCCUGGGGCUGGGGUACCUGGUUGAUGACCUGUGUGGUGACCUGGGGUGUGGGUGUGGGUGACCGUGGGGCUGUGGCUGUGGGUGACCCUGGGGCUGUGGCAAUGGGGUGACCCAGGGGCCGUGGGUGACCCGGGGGCUGUGGGUGACCUGGGGCUGUGGCUGUGGGACCCUGGGGCUGUGGCAAUGGGGUGACCCGGGCGUGGGUGACCGGGGGCGUGGGGUGACCCGGGGCUGUGGGUGACCCUGGGGCUGUGGGGGGUGGUGACCCGGGGGCUGGGGGUGGGGGCCGUGGGUGACCCUGGGGCUGUGGGUGUGGGUGACCCUGGGGCUGGUGUGGGUGACCCUGGGGCUGUGGGUGACCCUGGGGCUGUGGGUGUGGGUGACCCUGGGGCUGUGGCAAUGGGGUGACCCGGGGGCCGUGGGUGACCCUGGGGCUGUGGGUGUGGGUGACCGUGGGGCUGUGGGUGACCCGGGGGCCGUGGGUGACCCUGGGGCUGUGGCAAUGGGGUGACCCGGGGGCUGUGGGGUGACCCGGGGCUCCCGGGGGUACCUCCGUCGGGGGGCGCAGCCCCUGCCUCGCGGGCUCCCCCGUUGCCCUCGGCCUUGCUCUUGCUGGAGGAGCCCUUGGCCCCGAAGAGCCCGCUGGGCUGGUUCACGCGGCGGACACCCAGCUCAGCCCCUUCAGCGCGGUCACCGAUCGGCCAUGUUGGGGCUGGGGACCCCCAAAGCCAGCAGGCCCCAAACCGCAGGACAGACCAAAAGGGGGCCCCAAAGCCAGCAGGGAUCCCCCCAAACCCAGCAGGAACCUCCCCAAACCCAGCAGGGACCCCCAAAUCCAGCACAGACCCCUCCCCAAAAUCCAGCAGGGACCCAGAACCCAAGGGGAACCCCCAAACCUAGCAGGGAGCCCAAACCAGCAGGAACCUCCCCAAAACCAGCAGGGACCCCUCCCCAAACCCCCUGAGGCCCCUCACCUGGACAGGUCGAGGCUGUGGGGCACGCGGGCCAGGUCGUUGACCAGCCCCUUCUUGAGGAACAGGCGGAUGAUGUUGUUCAUGCCGUUGUGGGCCGGCUUGGCCGCGCUGCUGUAGAAGCUCGAGGUGGACGGGCACGACUCCAUGAUGGUGCUGAUGAUGCACAUGACGGCCUGAGCCUGUGGGGACAGCCUGCGGGGGACAGCGGUCACUCCAGGGUGACAGUGGUCACUCGGGGGACACCGGUCACUCCAGGGUGACAGUGGUCAUUCCAGGGGAUAACAGUCAUUCCAGUCCCCACGCUGCCCCCAUUGUCCCCACGCUGUCCACACUGUCCCCCAGCUGUCCCCAUUGUCCCCACACUGUCCCCCAGCUGCCCCCAUUGUCCCCACACUGUCCCCCAGCUGUCCCCAUUGUCCCCACACUGUCCCCACGCUGUCCCCAUUGUCCCCACACUGUCCCCACACUGUCCCCCUUGUCCCCACACUGUCCCCAGCUGUCCCCACACUGUCCCCCUCUGUCCCCACACUGUCCCCCAGCUGUCCCCAUUGUCCCCACACUGUCCCCACACUGUCCCCAUUGUCCCCACACUGUCCUCAGCUGUCCCCACGCUGUCCCCACACUGUCCCCAUUACCCCCACACUGUCCACACUGUCCCCCCGCUGUCCCCAUUGUCCCCACGCUGUCCCCACACCUGGCGUGUUUCUCGGUGCUCUCGGCCAUGGCCAGGGCGCGGCCCAGCGCGGCCUUGACCUCGUUCACCAGGGCCACCUGGGCGUCGGUGCCGCUGCCGGCCGCGGCCAGGCUGGCCAGGAAGAGCCGCGCCAGCGCCGGCGUGUCCUUGUCCUCGGCGUUCUGCUGGUGCGGCAGCAGGUGGUCCAGCACAAAGGCCAGCACGCUGCAGUCCUGCGGGGACACGGGGGUCACACGCCCGGACCCACGGCCAGGGGACAGACGGGACCUGGGGGACCCUCAGAGGAAGGGGACAAGGGACCCUCGAGCACAGGGGACAGGACUGAGGUGUUUGGGGGCACAGGGGACCCCAAGGUGUGGGGACAAGGGACCUCCGAGCACAGGGGACAGGAAUGAGGUAUCUGGGGGGACAGGGGAACAGGGGACCCUAAUAAUCAAGGUGACAAAGCACCCUUCUACAAGUGGUGACAAGGGAGCCCCCCCCCUUCUGACAGCCGGAGCACAGGGGGUGACAGAACCCCCCCAUACACACCCUGACAGGGACACGGCUCCCUGGUGGCAGUGGCCACCCCUGUCCCUGUCCCUGUCCCCACGGUGUCACCUCCUUGAUGAGCUCAGACUGCCCCCCGCACACAGGCGUCCCUGUCCCUGUCCCUGUCCCCGGUGUCACCUCCUUGAUGAGCUCAGACUGCCCUCCCGCACACACGGCUGUCCCUGUCCCUGUCCCUGUCCCCACGGUGUCACCUCCUUGAUGAGCUCAGACUGCCCCCCCGGCACACACGGCUGUCCCUGUCCCUGUCCCUGUCCCCCGCGGUGUCACCUCCUUGAUGAGCUCAGACUGCCCCUCCCGGCACACACGGCUGUCCCUGUCCCUGUCCCCGCGGUGUCACCUCCUUGAUGAGCUCGGACUGGCCCACGCUGUAGCUGUAGUUGGCGAUCAGGGCGGCGAUGCCCACGUAGGAGCGCACCAGCUCUGCCAGCAGCCGCAGGAUGGUCGAGGUGGGCAUCAGGGGCUUGGAGCCCCUCGCCCGGCCCCGCUCCUCGCCGCGCUCCCCCUCCUUCUCCUUGCGGCCCUCGCGGCCCUCCUCGGGGCUGGAUGCUGUGGGGACACGGGGACAGCGUCAGGGGACAGCCAGGGGGCAUGGGGACAGGGUCAGGGGCCAUGGGGACAGCGUCAGGGGACAGGGGGACAGCCAGGGGACAGCCAGGGGGCAUGGGGACAGGGUCAGGGGACAUGGGGACAGGGUCAGGGGACAUGGGGACAGCGUCAGGGGACAGUCAGGGGACAUGGGGACAGCACUGGGGACAGUCAGGGGACACGGGGACAGCGUCAGGGGACAGCAUCAGGGGACAAGGGGACAGCUUUAGGGGACACAGGGGAGCAGGGGGGCACCAUUAGGAGGCUCAGGGACCUUGGGGACCUCAGGGACAGUGGGGACUCAGGGACAGGAGGGGCUCAGGGACACGGAGGGGACAGUGAGGGCUCAGGGACACCGGGAUGUGUGGGGGCACAGAGAAGAUGUUGGGGGGGGGCGUGGGAGGAUCAGGGUCACAGGGACAUGGGGGGGACAUCAGGGACAAGCAAGGGACACCAGGGGACUCGGGGGACAGCGCCACCUUCUCCCUGGGGCGUUCCCGAGGGCGGCGUCUCUGCCGCGGCUCCAUCAGCAGCAAAAACCUGGGCCUGGGGGAGCAGGGGGUCAGAGCCUGGGGGGACCCCAAAACCCCACAGACCCCAGUGACACCCCCAGAGCCCCCCCAAAACCCACUGUUAACCCCUUCCUG
rnacentral:lncRNA from 14 species